rnacentral:tRNA from 1 species
AUGAGAUGCCUGAAAAAAAGGGUUAUUUUGAUAGAAUAAAUUAUGUAGAAAUAUUCUAUUCUCAUUAA